rnacentral:rRNA from 1 species
GAUGAACGCUGACAGAAUGCUUAACACAUGCAAGUCUUUGGCGAAGCUGUGCUUGCACAGCCUAGCCAAGGCGGACGGGUGAGUAACGCGUAAGGAACUUGCCCUGCAGUCAGGGAUAACAGACGGAAACGACUGAUAAGACCUGGUAAAGUCAGGCGGACUCAUGUCCAGCCUGAUGAAAAGAGAUGCUGCAGGAGAGCCUUGCGUCCUAUUAGCUUGUUGGUGGGGUAACGGCCCACCAAGGCGAUGAUAGGUAGCCGGCCUGAGAGGGUGGACGGCCACAAGGGGACUGAGAUACGGCCCUUACUCCUACGGGAGGCAGCAGUGGGGAAUAUUGGACAAUGGGGGCAACCCUGAUCCAGCAAUUCUGUGUGCACGAUGAAGGUUUUCGGAUUGUAAAGUGCUUUCAGCAGGGAAGAAAAAAAUGACGGUACCUGCAGAAGAAGCGACGGCUAACUACGUG